rnacentral:rRNA from 1 species
UACGAAGGGGGCUAGCGUUGCUCGGAAUCACUGGGCGUAAAGGGUGCGUAGGCGGGUAUUUAAGUCAGGGGUGAAAUCCUGGAGCUCAACUCCAGAACUGCCUUUGAUACUGAGUAUCUUGAGUACGGGAGAGGUGAGUGGAACUGCGAGUGUAGAGGUGAAAUUCGUAGAUAUUCGCAAGAACACCAGUGGCGAAGGCGGCUCACUGGCCCGUUACUGACGCUGAGGCACGAAGCGUGGGAGCAACAGG